CAAGCCAGAAGCGGCAACCUGAAAUACGACUCACGUCCUCAGGCAAGCGUACGUCAUCUAGCUAACGUUAGCGGACGUGUGUUCGUGCUGUGUUUUUAGGUGCCGGAAUCGAAGAGGUAAUAAACUAAACUCCAAGUUUUAUCGCACACCAGCGGCCGCUCCCAGUCCAAAAGAUCGGCGACAACUGUGGUUAAACGCGAUAAGACGGAAGGACUGGACUGAGGACGGCAUUCAAAAUGCUCGUGUUUGUAGCGCGCACUUCAUAUCAGGAGAGGCCUCUUUGGAUAAACACAGCCCAGACUUCAUCCCCUCUGUGUUUUCCUAUGGAUGACAGUGUGGCAGGCCUGCGGAGAAAUUGGGAGAGGCUGCAAAGGAAAAGGAAGAAGAAGCUGAGGCUAUGAUCCCACAAGAAGCAUACAACAGUCUCAGUCAAAAGUAUGACCACCUCAGUACUGAAUAUGGCAACUUGAGAAAAGACUAACAAACUCAAAGAGGAGCUCCAGAAAUCACGCUUCUCAUUCUCCAUGGUCAGAAACAAUGCUGCACACUUUCGGGUUCUCACUGGGCUAACUUCAGUCGUUUUCAUUUGGUUAAUGACAAAAAUAAAAGAUAGUGUGCAGAAGUGUACUGUAGGUCUCAUGCUGGAAGAUAAUUUAUUAUUGGUCCUUGUGAAACUGAGAUUGGGGCUCAGUAACAGAGAUAUAGCAUAUAGGUUCAAAGUUUCAGAAGGCACAAUAUCAAACAUUCUAAGAUCCUGGUUGCCUGUAAUGGCAAAUGUAUUGAAAUCUCUUAUCAAGUGGCCGACUAGGAGUGCUGUCCUUAAAAAUAUGCCAAAGAGUUUCAGGCAACAUUUCAAGAGAUGCCGGUGUGACUGUACAGAGAUUUUCGUGGUGAGACCUACUAACUUGACCGGUAGAGCUCAAACCUGGUCCAAUUACAAACAUAAUAACACAGUUAAGUACCUGGUGGGAGUAACACCUGCAGGGGCAGUUUCAUUCCUGUCCCCAGGCUGGGGUGGGAGUGUCAGAUAAGCAAAUAACAGUUGAAUCAAGGUUUUUGCACCUAUUAGAACCAAAAGAUGAAGUCUUAGCAGACAGGGGAUUUUUGAUCAGGUAUGAGCUUGCUGCAUAUGGUGCCACCUUGCGUAUACCAAGUUUCACUAAAGGAAAGCGUCAGUUACCUGCUUCUGAAGUAGAUUCGUCAAGACAACUGUCUCGUGUGAGAAGACACGUAGAGAGAGUUAUAAGCAGAUGGAAGAGUUUCAAAAUUUUGCAUUCUGUUAUUACUGUUUCACAAGUUAACGUCUUGGAUGACAUGGUGAUUGUGUGGUGCGCUUACCAAUCUCAGAUUUUUUUAAGAAGAGGAGGCAGAAAUAUCUUUGUUGGGUCAACAAGUGGUUUAUGCGCCACACUUUUCUGCCCUGGAACAAAAUGCUUAUGGAGCAGCCAGUUCUUUUUAAUGUAAUGUGACUCUUUAGUAUGGCUAUCCCAUUCACAUAGGAAUCAACAGUAUUUGUAUAUCCGAGCUGCAUUCCUAGUAGCAGUGCCAAUACUUUUAGAUCACCACAGAUGUUCAUGUCAUAAUUGUUGUACUGUAUGUGUUUCAACAACAGUUCCAUGUUAUUGUAGGUUUCUUUCAUGUGUACUACAUAGUCAAUGGGUACUGAAGGGUGGACAUUGCCAUUGUGUAACAGGACAACUUUCAGCCUUAACAUUGACAAAUCUAUAAAAAGAAGCCAUUGUUGUGGGUCAUGCACACAACCCAAAGCCAUGAACAAUCCAUCAAUGUCAGUGCAGAAACAGAGGUUGUCAACCUCUGUAAAGAAGUUUGUCAAAUGUACUUGAUGGUUCUGAAAGAUAGACAUUUUUGUACCUGGUGACAGCAAACCCCAUACUUGCAAUGUUGAACCAAGGAGUUCUGCUUUACCUUGUGACAAAUGUAAGUCUCCAAGCAGAUCAUUUAAUUCUGGCUGUGUUAUCAGAUGGGGAUAACCAGGGUUCAACUUCUAGAUCAGUGACGUUUUCCACAUCUGGUUCAUGCGUGGUGGCAUCUUCAUCUGCCUCUUCUAGGCUCCAUGUCUGUGGUGGCUUUGGUCCUGGCAAACUGUUAUCAUGUGGCACUGAUCUCAUGGCUGAAAGCAGAUUGGGGUAUUCAAUAGAUUUGUUAUAUUUAGUAAAGACUAGCAGAGGUACCCAGCAUUGCCCUGGGAAAAUGUUCUCACCAAAACAACCAACACGAUUUGAUCUUUACGAUAUCAUCGAUGAUGAAAUAUAGGAUAAUUUAUGAUAUGAUACAUGUGAUAAAGGAAUGUUGAAUAAACGAAUCUUA